GCAUACAAGCCCAUCUGGAGACCCUGACAGCAUCCCAGGACAUCAAACCUGAGGGACAUGACGUAGGAGAUUGGCAGGACGGAGGACUCUUAAAAAGAUGGCCCACCCAAAGGGCCUCCACGGAGACAAACUAUAAUUAUCAAAAAUCCAAUGUUGGGCCUGUCUGCAUGCAUGACGGUGCCAAAACGUGGACAUCUUCCAAGCUGGGGACUGAUUAGUCCAAGGAUGAGACUCGGCUGGAGGAUGGACAUCGCGGCGCUUCCCUGGAGAAUAAAUUUGCACCUGGUCCACCCGGAGCAACGGCCCCCGCGCCUUCGCGCCGCACCCCCGCCUUAAUUAAAAAACACGGCUAAUUUGCACACACUACUUUGCUUCUGAAUUGGAAUCCACUUCACCACUGGAGUCUGUUAAUUUGCACAGGAAACUACCGACCGAGCGGGGGUGGGACUGUGAUGUGGCUUGACGGCGGGCUGGACAAAGAGCGGACACAGUGGAAACAUCCAAGCUGCGGGGGGGGCACGGGGGGCCGUGCUCGCUUCCCCUCCUAUCUCGGUUCCACGCGGGGUUCAGGGAGGGAAAGACUAACUUUGAUUCAACAUACCAGAGGAAUAAUCCUAACCGCUUGGUAGUGCGGGAUAAUCUCCAUAAAGUGAAAUCACACAAGGGCGGACGGUGGAAUGGUAAUCCCGAAACGUCUUUCCUGACAGGUGACCGGAUUGAUGAUUCCACAAGAAAAUGCGUACUGCGGGAAAAGGCGGAUGAAUUAUGACAGUUUUCAUAUUAAGCAGACUUAUCUGCGGCAAAGAGCAUUAAAAGUGCCAAGUACAUCGACCGAUACUAUCACAAAUUGACCUGCCAAUCAACUCGCCUUGGCUUUAGAGGUGCAGAUAAGGUAUUUAAGGUCACUGACAGCAGCUUCCACCGUCUGUUGGCCUUCUUCUUUACUAUUAUCACAACCAUGUUACGAGGAAGCGCUUUGGUCGCUCUUGCGACAUGAAAAAGAUCGCGGAUAAUUCACCCAGGGCUCAAAAAAGGGGAGGC
ensembl:lncRNA